rnacentral:misc_RNA from 1 species
UGCCAGGUUUUACCAAGGAAUGCUGGAGGAAGGUGUAUACUUUGCGCCUUCACAAUUUGAGGCUGGAUUUACAAGCUUGGCACAUUCUGCUGAAGACAUCCAACAUACAAUAACAGCAGCCGAUAAAGUUUUCCGUCGGAUUUAGAUUUUAAAUCUUUGUAUCGCUGGCCUAGGUCCCAACCUCUUUUAUCCUCUUUCAUUUCGCAUGUGACCCCACUUUUCCAUUGGCAUACCAUCACCAUUAGAGACACCAUAGCCUUUCUAUGAAUGAAUCGUCAAAUUUACUUUGAUCACUUCUGCCCGGUAAGAGUUUGUAUUUUUUCCCCAGGCGAUCAGAACGUUUUGAUGUUUGUAAUUCUAUGUAUCAUUUGCUUCUAAGGCUUUUUUAUGAUAUUGGCUUGUCAUAAUUCUCAUAUUUUCCAGCACCAACUCUCAAGUUGGCAUGAACAACUUUUUUCAAUUACAAAGCAUUGACUGUGCAACUCCAAUAAAUCAAAUCACAAAUUGUUGAUCUUGCCAUAGCAUUAUUAACAGUUUGAGACAUGUGUAUUUAUCUUUGAAAUUUGAUUGUGGAUCUUGUCCUUACAUCAAUGAGACUAUAAAACUUUUUGUUACUGCUACAAAGCAUUUUAGGUCUUGAAAUAACAAACCAAGGAUGAAGAGAAGGCUCAAGGAAAAAUAUGAACACAUCAACACUUUUUGAUACUUGAGUACUUUCUGCACAUGAAUACUGCAACAUCCAACAUGGG